UAAUACGGAAGGGGCAAGCGUUGUUCGGAAUCAUUGGGCGUAAAGGGCGCGUAGGUGGUCCUAUGUGUCUACUGUGAAAGCACACGGCUCAACCGUGUCGGGUCGGUAGAAACUGUAGGACUUGAGGCUGGGAGGGGCUGGUGGAAUUCCCUGUGUAGCGGUGAAAUGCGUAGAGAUGGGGGAGAACACUCGUGGCGAAGGCGGCCAGCUGGACCAGUCCUGACACUGAGGCGCGACAGCAUGGGGAGCAAACAGGAUUAGAUACCCUGGUAGUCCAUGCCGUAAACGAUGGGCACUAGGUGCCGGCGGUAUUAAUCCCGUCGGUGCCGGCGCUAACGCAGUAAGUGCCCCGCCUGGGGAGUACGGUCGCAAGGCUG
rnacentral:rRNA from 1 species